GCUGCUAAUCCCAGCGGAUCAUAGAUUUUCGCCAUAGUUCUCAGGACGAUUCUUUUCGUAACUUCAUUUUCGUUUGGUGGAAAUGUCACUGACAAAGUGUCUUCUGAUUUGUUCCAGCCUAAUCCAAGAAGUUUGGUCUCCGAUGGUGUUGUCCCUAGACUUUCCUUCGCAUAGGUAGUUUCUCCAUCUUCCUUUACAUCACUUUCUAAUUCUGCGGCGUUCGAAUGCCAUUUAUGUAACAUGAACCCACCUUCUCCCAGGAUUUUUACAGCAUCUUCUUUAAUUUCUCUCGUUUCUUCCACUGUGUCGCUUGCAAUGUUUAUAUCGUCCACGUAUGUACCAUCUUUAAGCUCUCGAACACAAAUCGGAUGAUCUUGUGAGUACUUCUCUAGGUGAACGUUCAAUGUCCCUCCAAGAAUGAAUGGACUUGGACCCAGACCAAACAUAAGUCUUGUCAUGCGGUAGAUCUUCUCUUCUUUGGUGUGCAAGUUAUUUAUCCACAGGAACCUCAAGGCGUCACGUUCGGUUUCUCUGAUAACAAUCUGAAGAAACGCUUGCUUUAUAUCUCCAGCUAAUAGCACAGGUUUAACUUUCGUUGAAGUGGAGGGCCAAUCUCUAGACAGUCAUUCAGUGACGGACUAUCUUCGUUAACCUUUGCGGAGGCGUCGUAGACGAUACGAACUUUUGUUGAUUCAGCUUGUUCCCGAACGACAGGUUUAUGUGGAAUGUAAUGUUCGUGCUUCUCGUUUGGUUCUGUUGGUGCGAUCUCUACAAUUCCCUGUUCCACUUGGUCUUCGAUAAUUUGAUGGUAUGUCUCAGUAAGGCAGGUUGUUUAUCCAGUCGCUUCAGUAGUGACUGAAAUCUCGGUCGUGCAACGUUGAUGUUGGUUGGUAAUUUGGGAUGGCUAGCUUUCCAUGGUAGUGCUGUCUCGUAUUUUCCAUCUUCUCUCC